UCUGGAUGCCUCAUUCAACUCACUAGGCGAACUUCUUCAAGUAGUUGCGCGCCCGUGACCCCAUUUUCUACAGAGGCAUCACAAUUAAACCAGCCACUUUGAAGCUUAAUGCAUACACAACAACAAACGAGAUCAGCUGUUGGCACACACCCACACAAAUGCACAACAGAAGUAGAAAACACAACUAGAGCGAAACGCAACGCACUCAAUCAGUUUGGAGAGUUCUGUUCAGAAAACAUACCUCGACCACAGCGAGAGGGGAGUAAACGUCAACGCAGGCGACAUUUGCAGCAGCUGCGCAUUGACGCUUUCGUGUGGAUGCAGCAAAGACUGAUAACUGGUCCAUGACUUUUGGAUGUUGUUGACUGUGCGCGUUCAUCCGGUUUGUGUGUUGGCUGGAAAGUCUCCCGACAUGCCAAAGCAUACGCCGUGUAUACCGUGUGCAUGUGUGAAUGGCGAAAACAGACAACGGCGGAUACACUUCGCUUGGCCAACAUCCAGUGGCUGCUAGUCGUGCGUAUUCAUUCGAGUUUGCUGGACCUCAGCAAGGACGAACCAACAUCAAACAAACAAUCAAUGAAAAUCAAGCAGUUUCCCUCUAGAAACGUUGAAAGUUAACUGUGUGUGUAAGCAAGGUGUGAACUGUGUAUGAAAAGUGGACAAGAAAAGCGUACGAAACGAAAGUUUAAAAACAAUUUAUCAAUUAAAUGAAACAGCGAGCAAACUAAGCAAAUAUAAAAGUAUGUAUGUCGCAUAAAUCCGUCGUGUUUGACAUUUGACUUUUGCUGUGAAAACUGCAUCAACAAAAGUGCUACGAAAAGUGUGAAAUUUUGUGAAAAACGCUGAAUUAUACUGCAUAUCAGCGCAGAGAGUGGACUGUGUGCCUUUUGCUUCACACUCGCCGCGCACCUGCGGCCCACCUUAAGCGCAAAAGCGCAUAAAAUAAAUAGUGUGCCACUCCGUGUGCAUUAAAGCUGCGAAAUCCUUAUUAAUGACACACAUAUUCCAACAGUGAACCACAAUGCGCACAAUAACAAUAAAAACAACAGCAAAAGCAAUAACAUGUAGUUGAACUCUAUUAAGCAGAACAAAUAACUGCGGCCAAAAUUGAUUGCAGUCGUCGGCUUAACGAACGCACUUGUGGGGUAGUGCAGCUGUGCAGUGUUUGUUGCCAUUACAACAAUACGCGAUAGGUUUGUGCUACAAGUAUAAACGUUUUCGCCUCCACCCAUUGCGUGACGCGAGAGAUUUGGGUGUGAAGGCAGCAAGGCGCUGUAACUGCAGGGACGGACGCCGUGUGCAUACGCAAGAAAGUGUAAAUUAUAAAACAGCAGCAUCUGCAAUAAUCCUGCAAAUACACAGGCUAAAUAAAUAAAUAAGUGGAAAGGCACGCAGCUGAAGUGAAGCGAAAACCAGAAACUCAGCAAGUGCUGCAAAAAGUUAGGUUAAGUGAUGUGUACAUAUACUUACGUGCCGCAAAGGAAGCGCGCAAGCAUCGAGUUGAUGCUGUGAAGUGUAAAAGUGAAUUGGCCAACAAAAGCUUUUAAAAUGAAGUUAAAGCGAGCAAGUGCGAAAUUGUGAAAGUAAGAAGUGUAAAAAGUGAAACGCAAAACAAACGUGUGUGCAGCUGCUAGUGAAGCGGUAAAAAAUACAUACAUACAUAUACGGCAGCUUUUACACAGCAUCCGGUGUUUUCCACUCACCUGUCCAUUUGUGCUGCAGCGGCUGCCACGCCAUUAAAAUGCAUGAGUCGGCAAAAACAAACCGGCUGGAGCAUGUGAGUCGCAAAACCAAAGAAGGAAGAAUUCACAUUUGAAGCGUUAGGUGUGAAAGUGUGACCGUUUUUCGUCGUAAAGCUACUAUUAGUAAAUGCUUUUGAAAAAGUGAAAAUCGUGUGGCUGUGUGCGGCUAAUAAAGUGCCAAAUAAAUUGGUGUCAGUAACAUUAAUGAAUCGAUCUGUGUAAAAACAAAUGAAAAAGUUUAAAAUACUCAGCAUAAAAUAGCAAAUAUACCGAUAAAAAGCUAACUGUUGUGCACAAAAGUACCCCCUGUGCCACAGUCACAAAAAAGGUGUUGCCCAUGUCGGGAAAAAUUGCAAACUUUCCGCCAAUGAAACUGUAUCCAUAUAUGUACGUUGUGUAAAAAAGUUCGUGUAAUUAUGUUGAACGCAGGCAGUGACACCUUUGUGCCAGCUAUGUGGCCGUAUGUACACGCCACGCAAACAAACUAGUCACGCGUACAUAUCCUGACAGCGUGCGUAACAAUAAAACGGCACAUAACUGAUACUUUCACGUUGCACAUGUGCUACUUGGACAGUAAAUGAAGAGACAGUUGUGCAAAAACAAUAAUAUAUAAAGGCAUGUGGCAUUAGGCGCUUUGACUGUUUGUAGCGCGCCUGUUGCUGGCCUAAAUUUUGUGACGAGCGCAUGGAAAUCGGCCAGGCUAUAACUACAGCUUCCGGCGACAGACACUCUUUAAGUGAUGCAACAACAAAGCAAGCCCUAUGCAUAUAAGUGCUCAUAGCAGCUACAAGCAACAAGCCAUACUGUGGCGUUAUUAUGUUUAAGCAUUGCGAGAAAAAAUUUCGGUAAAAAAUGCCAAACUUAAUUGCCAAUAAAAAUGAGUUGGAAAAGUUGGCGACGAAAAAAUUAGACUAAAAACUGAAAAGCAAAAGAAUUUCUACGAGAGAACAGAUCACAAAAGCGCUAAACUCACUUAAAGUCUAAACUUAAGGGUAGUUUUGCAUUAAAGCAGACAAAUUUUGCUUUUUCCGUGAACACUGAAAGCGUGAG
rnacentral:lncRNA from 1 species